rnacentral:lncRNA from 1 species
AAAAAUCAAUCAUGAAUAGUGCACGAAUUCAUCAAUUAUUACACAUAAUUUUUAUCAUAUAAUCAGAAUUCAUCCACAACAUACACCAUAUUGGAGGUUAAAGACUUCUCUACCUUACCACUCAUGCAUAAGUCCUAUUGAAAAUUAUUCUUCCCCCUUACCGGAUACUCCUAGCAGCAAAAUUCUGAUUUUCGAUGGAACUUCUUUUUCUCCACUCUAAGUC